rnacentral:rRNA from 1 species
UACGUAGGGGGCAAGCGUUGUCCGGAUUUAUUGGGCGUAAAGAGCGUGUAGGCGGCCGCACAGGUCCGUUGUGAAAACUGGAGGCUUAACCUUCAGACGUCGAUGGAAACCGUGCGGCUAGAGUCCGGAAAAGGAGAAUGGAAUUCCUGGUGUAGCGGUGAAAUGCGCAGAUAUCAGGAAGAACACCCGUGGCUAAGGCGGUUCUCUAGUACGGUACUGACGCUGAGACGCGAAAGCGUGGGGAGCGAACAGG